rnacentral:misc_RNA from 1 species
ACCCCCAGAACCUAUGGACAUCCAUGCACGGGCUGCAACAGCAGCAGCAUUGCUAGAAUCGUUUCUUAUAGGUGGAAGUGAUGGUAUAACAGGUGAUAUAUUAUCAACUGAGGAUUGACUUGAAGGUUUCUGCGGUUUUUGAGCCCUUUCAGCUGAUAUUCUCAUCGCUUCAACUGGAUCAUUAAAAGCAUGUUCCUGUCCUGGUGCAAAGAAUGUUGGUGCUCUGGCCAUUUGAUUGGGAACAGCAUCAGAAGAUCUAUUAUUCAAGGAACUAACAACUUUUCCAUUAGUUAACCCACCAGAACCAAAUCCAUUAUUAUCUGGCGGCUUAGAACGCACUGACUGCACAAGACCCACUGUCCUUGGCAUCUCCCUUGGCUUUGGACUUGCCAUUUCUGAAUUAUCAGGAAGAUGCUUUUCUGCAACAUCAGCAUCACCUUGAUAGUUUGAUGGGGGCAAGUUGAGUUCAACUGGUUUUGAAGCCUUAUUCUGAGCCUCAGAAAAAGUCCUGUGUGGAAGGUUUUGCUGCUGAUAAGCGGGAUUAACAGUGAAAGGGGCACUAGGUUUCGAUUCAGCAGCAGAAAACACGGUUGGCCUUCCUUCUGAAACAGGCCCACAAGUUGGACGAAGCAAACGUUGUUUUCCUUCUGGUGUCGGUGCUCUAGCAUGAUUUUCCUUAGAAGGAAUUGGGGGCCUUGAAGUUGAAUCACUCUUUACUGCAUCAGCAGCACCUUGUAACUUUGUAA